UACAGAGGUCUCAAGCGUUGUUCGGAUUCAUUGGGCGUAAAGGGUGUGUAGGUGGCGCGCUAAGUCGGGUGUGAAAUUUCGGAGCUUAACUCCGAAACUGCAUUCGAUACUGGCGUGCUUGAGGACUGGAGAGGAGACUGGAAUUUACGGUGUAGCAGUGAAAUGCGUAGAUAUCGGAAGGAACAUCAGUGGCGAAAGCGACUUCCUGGACCAGUACCGACGUUCAGGCACGAAAGCGUGGGGAGCAAACAGG
rnacentral:rRNA from 1 species